GACAGGUGGUGCAUGGUUGUCGUCAGCUCGUGUCGUGAGAUGUUGGGUUAAGUCCCGCAACGAGCGCAACCCUUAAGCUUAGUUGCCAUCAUUAAGUUGGGCACUCUAAGUUGACUGCCGGUGACAAACCGGAGGAAGGUGGGGAUGACGUCAAAUCAUCAUGCCCCUUAUGAUUUGGGCUACACACGUGCUACAAUGGACAAUACAAAGGGCAGCGAAACCGCGAGGUCAAGCAAAUCCCAUAAAGUUGUU
rnacentral:rRNA from 1 species